GGUAGUCCACGCCGCAAACGAUGUCGACUUGGAGGUUGUGCCCUUGAGGCGUGGCUUCCGGAGCUAACGCGUUAAGUCGACCGCCUGGGGAGUACGGCCGCAAGGUUAAAACUCAAAUGAAUUGACGGGGGCCCGCACAAGCGGUGGAGCAUGUGGUUUAAUUCGAUGCAACGCGAAGAACCUUACCUACUCUUGACAUCCAGAGAACUUAGCAGAGAUGCUUUGGUGCCUUCGGGAACUCUGAGACAGGUGCUGCAUGGCUGUCGUCAGCUCGUGUUGUGAAAUGUUGGGUUAAGUCCCGCAACGAGCGCAACCCUUAUCCUUUGUUGCCAGCGGUUAGGCCGGGAACUCAAAGGAGACUGCCAGUGAUAAACUGGAGGAAGGUGGGGAUGACGUCAAGUCAUCAUGGCCCUUACGAGUAGGGCUACACACGUGCUACAAUGGCGCAUACAAAGAGAAGCGACCUCGCGAGAGCAAGCGGACCUCAUAAAAUGCGUCGUAGUCCGGAUUGGAGUCCGCAACUCGACUCCAUGAAGUCGGAAUCGCUAGUAAUCGUAGAUCAGAAUGCUACGGUGAAUACGUUCCCGGGCCUUGUACACACCGCCCGUCACACCAUGGGAGUGGGUUGCAAAAGAAGUAGGUAGCUUAACCUUCGGGAGGGCGCUUACCACUUUGUGAUUCAUGACUGGGGUGAAGUCGUAACAAGGUAACCGUAGGGGAACCUGC
rnacentral:rRNA from 1 species